UACCAGCACCCCGAGUGGGUCGGGACGAUUAUUGGGCCUAAAGCAUCCGUAGCCGGUCAUGCAAGUCUUCCGUUAAAUCCAGCCGCUCAACGGUUGGGGCUGCGGAGGAUACUACUGGCUAGGAGGCGGGAGGAGGCAAGCGGUACUCGAUGGUAGGGGUAAAAUCCGUUGAUCCAUUGAAGACCACCAGUGGCGAAGGCGGCUUGCCAGAACGCGCUCGACGGUGAGGGAUGAAAGCUGGGGGAGCAAACCGGAUUAGAAACCCCGAG
rnacentral:rRNA from 1 species